CAUGGAAGUCUCCAAGCCUGUGCCAUCCACCUGCCAAGGAAAAGCACAAGCAUACAGUUUGAACAUUUAUUCGCCUCCUGAGCUUGUACAACAGUCGUGGGAGUUGCUGCAGAAGCAAGCGAAAAGCCAGAUGAGCGCUUCUAAACUUAGAGAGAGGAGAGUUGGGGCCUUCCAUUCCCUCCAGUAAAUACUUGUUUUUCUUCCACCGCUGAGGCAAAUGCGGGGUGGCUGAUCACCUGGCAGACAUCUUAGGAAACAGGAGCACCGGUCUGGGAAACUGCUGGCCUGGCCUAACACCUGGCGCUGUGGUGCAGGAGGGCAGCCACUGAGGAUUCUUGAGGAGAGAGAGACCAUAGAAUGAAUGAAAGAGUUGGAAAGACUUUAAAGCUCUGGGAGGCUGAAUCCUUUAUUUCGCUGGAAGAAAAACUGAAUGCCAAGAGGGCCUCACUUUCCCCAAAGCUAUACAGCCAUCAGGGGCAAUGCUGGGAUUCCCCCAUGGAUCUCUUGACUCCUAAUACAGUGCUCUUUCUGAUAUGCCAUCUGGCUCCAUAAUGAACAUUGUGUUCCAGGAAAAUCAGUCUGCGCUGAACAGGAUGGAAUUGGGGCAGGACGUCCAGUGAGGAGGACAUUGAGGCAGUAGAGCAG
rnacentral:antisense_RNA from 1 species